AUGAUCAGAUUGGCGUCCAUGGCCUCUUUAUUCUUCAACAAGUAUGCCAUGUUCUCAUACAUGACCUUGAAGUCGAUAGUGACCUACAGGGCAAAAGGUUUAGAUCGAUUAUUCACCAAAGAAGAAAAAGAGAGAGAAAAACUCAUAUGCAUGAGCUGUUCGAAUCCGUGGUUGGCGAUCUCCUAUGGUUUAUUUUUUCGACACACC
rnacentral:lncRNA from 1 species